rnacentral:rRNA from 1 species
UACGAAGGGGGCUAGCGUUGCUCGGAAUUACUGGGCGUAAAGCGCACGUAGGCGGCCGAUUAAGUCGGGUGUGAAAGCCCAGGGCUCAACCCUGGAAGUGCACUCGAAACUGGACGGCUUGAAUAUGGAAGAGGGUUGCGGAAUUCCCGGUGUAGAGGUGAAAUUCGUAGAUAUCGGGAGGAACACCAGUGGCGAAGGCGGCAACCUGGGCCAAUAUUGACGCUGAGGUGGCGAAAGCGU